CUUGCUACAGGCUUAACACAUGCAAGUCGAGGGGCAGCAUGGUCUUAGCUUGCUAAGGCCGAUGGCGACCGGCGCACGGGUGAGUAACACGUAUCCAACCUGCCGUCUACUCUUGGACAGCCUUCUGAAAGGAAGAUUAAUACAAGAUGGCAUCAUGAGUCCGCAUGUUCACAUGAUUAAAGGUAUUCCGGUAGACGAUGGGGAUGCGUUCCAUUAGAUAGUAGGCGGGGUAACGGCCCACCUAGUCUUCGAUGGAUAGGGGUUCUGAGAGGAAGGUCCCCCACAUUGGAACUGAGACACGGUCCAAACUCCUACGGGAGGCAGCAGUGAGGAAUAUUGGUCAAUGGGCGAGAGCCUGAACCAGCCAAGUAGCGUGAAGGAUGACUGCCCUAUGGGUUGUAAACUUCUUUUAUAAAGGAAUAAAGUCGGGUAUGCAUACCCGUUUGCAUGUACUUUAUGAAUAAGGAUCGGCUAACUCCGUGCCAGCAGCCGCGGUAAUACGGAGGAUCCGAGCGUUAUCCGGAUUUAUUGGGUUUAAAGGGAGCGUAGAUGGAUGUUUAAGUCAGUUGUGAAAGUUUGCGGCUCAACCGUAAAAUUGCAGUUGAUACUGGAUAUCUUGAGUGCAGUUGAGGCAGGCGGAAUUCGUGGUGUAGCGGUGAAAUGCUUAGAUAUCACGAAGAACUCCGAUUGCGAAGGCAGCCUGCUAAGCUGCAACUGACAUUGAGGCUCGAAAGUGUGGGUAUCAAACAGGAUUAGAUACCCUGGUAGUCCACACGGUAAACGAUGAAUACUCGCUGUUUGCGAUAUACAGCAAGCGGCCAAGCGAAAGCGUUAAGUAUUCCACCUGGGGAGUACGCCGGCAACGGUGAAACUCAAAGGAAUUGACGGGGGCCCGCACAAGCGGAGGAACAUGUGGUUUAAUUCGAUGAUACGCGAGGAACCUUACCCGGGCUUAAAUUGCAGAUGAAUUACGGUGAAAGCCGUAAGCCGCAAGGCAUCUGUGAAGGUGCUGCAUGGUUGUCGUCAGCUCGUGCCGUGAGGUGUCGGCUUAAGUGCCAUAACGAGCGCAACCCUUGUUGUCAGUUACUAACAGGUUCCGCUGAGGACUCUGACAAGACUGCCAUCGUAAGAUGUGAGGAAGGUGGGGAUGACGUCAAAUCAGCACGGCCCUUACGUCCGGGGCUACACACGUGUUACAAUGGGGGGUACAGAGGGCCGCUACCACGCGAGUGGAUGCCAAUCCCAAAAACCUCUCUCAGUUCGGACUGGAGUCUGCAACCCGACUCCACGAAGCUGGAUUCGCUAGUAAUCGCGCAUCAGCCACGGCGCGGUGAAUACGUUCCCGGGCCUUGUACACACCGCCCGUCAAGCCAUGGGAGCCGGGGGGUACCUGAAGUGCGUAACCGCGAGGAGCGCCCUAGGGUAAAACUGGUGACUGGGGCUA
rnacentral:rRNA from 1 species